GCCACGGUAUCUCAGUGGUAGAGCCUUUGUAUAUGGUGAGGGAAAGCACCUAGCAAUAACUGUCAGGAGAUCGUAGGUUCGAAUCAUGCCCGGUGGCU